GAUGAACGCUAGCGGCAGGCUUAAUACAUGCAAGUCGUGGGGCAGCAGGUCUGUAGCAAUACAGAUGCUGGCGACCGGCAAACGGGUGCGGAACACGUACACAACCUUCCUUUAAGUGGGGAAUAGCCCAGAGAAAUUUGGAUUAAUACCCCGUAACAUAAUGAAGUGGCAUCACUUUAUUAUUAUAGCUCCGGCGCUUAAAGAUGGGUGUGCGGCUGAUUAGAUAGUUGGCGGGGUAACGGCCCACCAAGUCGACGAUCAGUAACUGGUGUGAGAGCACGACCAGUCACACGGGCACUGAGACACGGGCCCGACUCCUACGGGAGGCAGCAGUAAGGAAUAUUGGUCAAUGGACGCAAGUUUGAACCAGCCAUGCCGCGUGGAGGAUAAAGGUCCUCUGGAUUGUAAACUUCUUUUAUUUGGGAAGAAAUCUAUCUUUUCUUGGAUAGUUGACGGUACCAGAUGAAUAAGCACCGGCUAACUCCGUGCCAGCAGCCGCAGUAAAAC
rnacentral:rRNA from 1 species